rnacentral:rRNA from 1 species
AUGAACGCUGGCGGCGUGCCUAAUACAUGCCAGUCGAGCGAACGGACGAGAAGCUUGCUUCUCUGAUGUUAGCGGCGGACGGGUGAGUAACACGUGGAUAACCUACCUAUAAGACUGGGAUAACUUCGGGAAACCGGAGCUAAUACCGGAUGAUAUUUUGAACCGCAUGGUUCAAAAGUGAAGGACGGUCUUGCUGUCACUUAUAGAUGGAUCCGCGCUGCAUUAGCUAGUUGGUAAGGUAACGGCUUACCAAGGCAACGAUGCAUAGCCGACCUGAGAGGGUGAUCGGCCACACUGGAACUGAGACACGGUCCAGACUCCUACGGGAGGCAGCAGUAGGGAAUCUUCCGCAAUGGGCGAAAGCCUGACGGAGCAACGCCGCGUGAGUGAUGAAGGUCUUCGGAUCGUAAAACUCUGUUAUUAGGGAAGAACAUAUGUGUAAGUAACUGUGCACAUCUUGACGGUACCUAAUCAGAAAGCCACGGCUAACUACGUG